rnacentral:lncRNA from 1 species
AAAAUUCAAGAGAAAUUUUUGGAUUUCAAGGAAUCAAGCAAGUAAAGGUAAGAUUUUUAAUUUUAGCUGGUGAUCUACCUUUCCCAUGCACUCUUUUUCAUUCUCCAUGGCUGAAAUUCAAGUUUUCAAGAGGGAACCUUUGCUGGCCAAAUCUAGAAAGAGAAGUUUUGGUGAUGAAUUUUGCUAGAUUUCAUAAUAUCCUAGUGUUUUUAGUCAUUUUGUGAUGUUUGGAAGGAAAAACAAGCAAGAAAAUCACAUGCCCUUCAAUAACCCUCUUUGGCCGAAUUUAUUAGGUGACAUGUUGAUGAUGGAUUUUGUUGUAUUUCAUGUUAAUUAGCUCGUAAUUAAUGAUUUAUGGUAUCGGAUAUCGAAAUCAAAAUGAAUUUCGGUUACGGUGAAUUAAGUCAUAAUUAAGCUCAUUCAGGUACUUUGGUGUAUUUGGAAUAUUGGAAGUGUAAUGAAGAUAUUUGGAGUUGAAUUGGAUGUUUUGGCUAAUUAAACCUGGCAUAGUACGAGUUAGGUCAAAUGCAAUUCAGUCCGAUCAUAAUUGAACCCACGUAGAAUAUCGUCUUUAAGUGAUUAUUCGGACAAUUCUCAUUCAAUGUCAUGCAUUCAUAUAGAGCCUAAAAUAGUUUUAUAACAGUUUGGCACAAAUAUAUUAAAUUACGUGUCACGUGUUAUGUAUAGGUGGUGAGCCCUUUGAUAAGGGUAAAGAUAUUGUGCCCGACGACCAAGAAUAGGAGUACUCCAAACUCCUGCUAUUAUGAGUAAUCAAAUGUUCAUCUUAACUAUCUAAAGUAGUUUAUAUUCAUUUUUUUAUGAUUUUAAAGAAUAAUGAACUUAAACCGU